AGAGUUUGAUCCUGGCUCAGGAUGAACGCUGGCGGCGUGCUUAAUACAUGCAAGUCGAACGAAGCACUUUUGACAGAUCCCUUCGGGGUGAAGAUGAUUGUGACUUAGUGGCGGACGGGUGAGUAACGCGUGGGGAACCUGCCUCGUGCUGGGGGAUAACAGUUAGAAAUGACUGCUAAUACCGCAUAAGCGCACAGUAAGGCAUCUUACAGUGUGAAAAGAUUUAUCGGCAUGAGAUGGACCCGCGUCUGAUUAGGUAGUUGGCGGGGUAACGGCCCACCAAGCCCGCGAUCAGUAGCCGACUUGAGAGAGUGAUCGGCCACAUUGGGACUGAGACACGGCCCAGACUCCUACGGGAGGCAGCAGUAGGGAAUAUUGCACAAUGGGGGAAACCCUGAUGCAGCGACGCCGCGUGAGUGAUGAAGUAUUUCGGUACGUAAAACUCUAUCAGCAGGGAAGAUAAUGACGGUACCUGACUAAGAAGCCCCGGCUAACUACGUGCCAGCAGCCGCGGUAAUACGUAGGGGGCAAGCGUUAUCCGGAUUUACUGGGUGUAAAAGGGAGUGUAGGUGGUCUGGCAAGUCAUAUGUGAAAGCCCGCGGCUCAACUGCGGGACUGCAUUUGAAACUGUCAGACUGGAGUGCAGGAGAGGAAAGUGGAAUUCCUAGUGUAGCGGUGAAAAUGCGUACAUAUU
rnacentral:rRNA from 1 species